GGGGCGGGGAGGGGAAAGACGCGGUAGGCAGGACUCCUGGGGAAGCGAAUCUGCCAAGCGGGCAGCUCUCCUCGGCUCCCCGCCAAGCACAAACUGCAAGAGGCAACGAACGGGAUGAGGCCGCUCCGGUAUCCAGGGACCGGCUCCUGUCUCUACAGCGACUCCCCGACUGCCCCCAACUCGAGCAAAGCCUGCUGAGUGUUCCCUGAUUCGGGCCGGCUGAGCAAUCAGCGCCAGAUAACCAACGGGGACCCAUAAUUGCCCUGGAGUGGCCUGGGACUGCAAGCAGCCACUGUCAGCACUGUCUUCUCUGCUGGGCUGGUGGGUCUUUGCUCUAUGUUUGGGAAGGCGGAGAUCACAGCACACUCCGUGAUCAAGGCUGCUGGCUCUUGACUGUGCUUAGGAUGGCUUGGAGUGGGUUUUCAUAUAGAGCACCUCUGGCAGACAAACCCAGCUGUCUCAAAGCAGUGUGCCUGCGAAGACCUGGGCCUUGAGCAGCAUGGUACCGGAAUGGGGAUGGGUGGGCCAGCUCCUGGAGAAGGCUCCUUACCAGGCUGUGGCCCCUGUGAGAGAGGGCAGUCACAGGUGAGGGCUGCAGGUCAAAAUACAGAGGGUGCCGUGCAGGUGUUAGCUGUAGUUCCUGCUAUUCAGUUCAUGCAAAUUUCCAAUCCACCCAAAUGAAGUGAGGUGUACAGGCAACUUCCAAAGCCUGGAAAUUCCUGGGAAAACACAUGCCCAGAUCCUUUUAUCCUCCCUCUCUCCCCGCCGUUCUCCAUCUCACUCACCCUCUUGCCCUACUGAGACAUGGGGCUGAUGGACUUUGGCUGUUAGCAGCCGUGAUGUUGGGCUCCCACCUCACCAUGGGCCUCUAUAGCUUCUUCUGGCCCCCUCAGUUCCCAAGAAUACUUUUGGAAUGGGGCGUGCUGUGCUAAUGGGGGUUAAUGGUAACCUCGGAAUCAAUUUUCCCUCCCAGAAGAAAAUUCUCCCGGCUUAGGCUGCACAGACUAUAAUAGUGAAAAUGGCUCUAGAUUUGAAAAAUUGGCACGUUGUAGUCCAACAAGGCAAUUUUUGAAUUGUUCCAUGCAGCUGUGCUCCUCUGGAUGCUGUGCUACUUGUACCCUAAAGCUACAGGAUGGAGAGCACUUUCCAGCCAAACAGCUCUAAGGUGGCUCUUUCUUCUACCACCCCAGCCUGAAUUUGUUUUGUUGUUCACCUGCCCCAAAUCCUUGGAGAUUUGGCCUCUACCUCAGCAGCUGCCAGAGGUAUUGGACAAGGAGAGAAUGUCGUGGCUCUCUGCAGAGCCUAACUGCUGAGGGCGAAAGGCCUGGGAACGAGGGUUUCCUGAAGAUCAUGGGUCCAUACACUGGCUGCAAAGACAGGCCAGGAGAGAACAGGACCACUGCUCCUAGCCAGGAUUUCCUGGCCAGUGUCAAAGCUGGGCCUUUCUUGGACUGAACGAUGAGAACCCAGAAGAGGAAAUGUGUGUGAUCACUGUGCAAGGCAUUUGAUUUGGAUGAUCCGUGUUUUCGCUAUUAUAAAAGGCAAGCCAUUUUGUCUUGUUUUUUGUGUGUUUGUUUGUUUGUUUGUUUUAAAGUG